AUGGACCCUUCUCAUUCUCAACACUUGCAUGGGCUUAAGGAUGGUUCAAGAGCUGAAGAAUUCUUUAACAGAAUUAAGUCCAUACUUAAAUAGUAACUGAAUAACCAAAUAUCUCUCUUUACCAUAUCAGCACUACAUACAAAUGCUUAUUCCGGUUCACUACUUAAAAUGAGUUGUGUAAUGAACGUGUCCCUACAGUUUAUAUAUAACUUUCAACCCAAACAUAUCAACCAUUCAAGCCAUUUUAAUUUCCACUUAAAUAUGUAUGUGAAUUUGUUUAUAUCAAUACUAUAAGGAAGGAGUGGAUGUAGAACAGUUGAAGAUAGUUAUAAAAAAUACAAAGAUACUCUUCGGCUACUUUCGCUAUUCUAAACAUUAUUCUUAAUAACCAGAAAGUCAACGAAAAUCUUCUGACUUUUGGCAUGUAUUCUUAAUUACAUUGACAAAAAUUUUAAAACUUGAUUGAUGCUUGGUUGGAUGACCAUUUUUCUAAACAUUAUUAAUCUUAACAAAAAAAAAAAAAAAAAAAACAAAUCAUAAAGAUUAAAGCUUCGGCGUGCACCUGUCCACUUAUUUAUCCAACUCACUCUCUGGUUAAAACUUGAAAGUGACAACACCAUGUUGGUGUGCAAAGUGGUGCUCAAAGUCUGUGAAUGAGGUGGAAUGAAAGUUCUUGGAAACUUCUAUAAAAAUUUCAAAUAAUUUACUCAUGGACCACUUCUACCAAUAAUCCAAAUUCAGUAGGGUAAAAUCUUUUUAAAAUUUAAAGAAAGUAAUUCUACGAGUUAAAUGCAUGGUUAGUCCUUGUGGUUUGCCAUUUUUGCAGACUUGGUCCCAAGGCUUUAAUAAUUACAAAGUUGGUCACAGUAGUUGUAAUUUUUGCACUCAGGAUCCUAAUCACUAACAUUUAGCACACUCUUAACUGAGAUAGACGGUGGUAGAUGGUCACAGUAGGUUAGAACCCUGUGUAUUACACGGGUUGAAAAAAUAUAAUUUUAUAUACUAAAUAAUAAAAUAGUUACAUCUUUUAAAAACUCGUGUAUUGCACGAUUUGAAUAAACACAUGUCUUACAUGAAUAAUGUAAUCCGUUAACACAUUUAGUCAUCAAGAUGUGUUUUCUAACAAAAUGAACUUUGAGGUACUAUUUACUUAUUGUAACAUCUCACUUUAUUUUUUAUUAGGUUAGAGAGUUAUGUAUUACAUGGUUUAUAACAUUUUACUUUUUUUUUUUUAUUAUUAGGUUAGAAACUUAUGUAUUACCUACCCUAAACCCUAAACCCUAAACCCUAAACCCUAAACCCUAAACCCUAAACCCUAAACGCAGGAAAAAAAAGGAAAAGGAAUGUUUUCGUAAAAUAUAUUAAAUAUACAAGAGAUAAGCUAGAUAUUUGAUUUAAUAUUAUUAUUUCACUGGAGUGUAAAACCGGAUAAUGAGAUCAUUUAUUAGAAGUAG
rnacentral:lncRNA from 1 species